rnacentral:rRNA from 1 species
AAAUUGAAGAGUUUGAUCAUGGCUCAGAUUGAACGCUGGCGGCAGGCCUAACACAUGCAAGUCGAACGGUAACAGGAAACAGCUUGCUGUUUCGCUGACGAGUGGCGGACGGGUGAGUAAUGUCUGGGAAACU